UCCCAUGUAGUGUAGAGGUUUAGCAUUUGGGAUUUUCAUCAUUCGGUGAUUUCCCACGACCCGGGUUCGAACCCCGGCAUGGGAA